rnacentral:rRNA from 1 species
UACGUAGGGGGCGAGCGUUAUCCGGAAUUAUUGGGCGUAAAGAGUACGUAGGCGGUUACCUAAGCAUGGGGUUUAAGGCAGUGGCUUAACCACUGUUCGCCCCAUGAACUGGGCUACUUGAGUGCAGGAGGGGAAAGCGGAAUUCCUAGUGUAGCGGUGAAAUGCGUAGAUAUUAGGAGGAACACCAGUGGCGAAGGCGGCUUUCUGGACUGUAACUGACGCUGAGGUACGAAAGUGUGGGGAGCAAACA